CGAACGGGUGAGUAACGCGUGAGGAACCUGCCUCAAAGAGGGGGACAACAGUUGGAAACGACUGCUAAUACCGCAUAAGCCCACGAUCCGGCAUCGGAUUGAGGGAAAAGGAUUUAUUCGCUUCAGGAUGGACUCGCGUCCAAUUAGCUAGUUGGUGAGGUAACGGCCCACCAAGGCGACGAUUGGUAGCCGGACUGAGAGGUUGAACGGCCACAUUGGGACUGAGACACGGCCCAG
rnacentral:rRNA from 1 species